rnacentral:rRNA from 1 species
GUGAGGAAUAUUGGUCAAUGGUCGAGAGACUGAACCAGCCAAGUCGCGUGAAGGAAGAAGGAUCUAUGGUUUGUAAACUUCUUUUGCAGGGGAAUAAAGUACGGUACGUGUACCGUUUUGUAUGUACUCUGCGAAUAAGGAUCGGCUAACUCCGUGCCAGCAGCCGCGGUAAUACGGAGGAUCCAAGCGUUAUCCGGAUUUAUUGGGUUUAAAGGGUGCGCAGGCGGGUUGAUAAGUCAGCGGUGAAAGUUUGCAGCUUAACUGUAAAAUUGCCGUUGAAACUGUCGAUCUUGAGUGCAAAUGAGGUAAGCGGAAUGUGUUGUGUAGCGGUGAAAUGCUUAGAUAUAACACAGAACACCGAUUGCGAAGGCAGCUUACUGGGAUGCAACUGACGCUCAUGCACGAAAGCGUGGGGAUCAAACAGGAUUAGAAACCCUGGUAGUCC